GACGAACGCUGGCGGCGUGCUUAACACAUGCAAGUCGAACGGAAAGGCCCUGCGUUUGUGGUGUUCUCGAGUGGCGAACGGGUGAGUAACACGUGUGUAACCUGCUCUUCAUUUUCGGAUAACUUCAGGAAACUGGGGCUCAUACCGGAUAGGAGCUCCUGCUGCAUGGUGGGGGUUGGAAAGUUGCGGCGGUUGGGGAUGGACUCGCGGCUUAUGAUCUUGUUGGUGGGGUAGUGGCUUACCAAGGCUUUGACGGGUAGCCGGCCUGGGAGGGUGACCGGCGACAUUGGGACUGAGAUACGGCCCAGACUCCUACGGGAGGCAGCAGUGGGGAAUAUUGCACAGUGGGCGCAAGCCUGAUGCAGCAACGCCGCGUGCGGGAUGCCGGCCUUCGGGUUGUGAACCGCUUUCGCCUGUGACGCAGCGUGAGUGACGGUAAUGGGUAAAGAAGCACCGGCUAACUACGUG
rnacentral:rRNA from 1 species